AACGAACGCUGGCGGCAUGCCUAACACAUGCAAGUCGAACGAGACCUUCGGGGCUAGUGGCGCACGUCUAGUUAACGCGUGGGAACCUGCCCUUAGGUUCGGAAUAACUCACCUAAAGGGGUGCUAAUGCAGGUUAAUGUCUUCCGGGCAAGGAUGUAUCGCCUUUGGAUGGGCCGGCGUUUGUUUCGCUGGUUGGUAGGGUAAAAGCCUAUCAGGGCGACGGUCCAUAGCUGGUCUGCGAGGAUGAUCAGGCACACUGGGACUGAGACACAGCCCAGACUCCUACGGGAGGGAGGAGUAUGGAAUAAUGGACGAUGGGCGAAAGCCUGAUCCAGCAAUGCCGCGUGAGUGCUGAAGGGCUGAGGGUUGUAAAGCCCUUUUACCCGGGAUGUUAAUGACAGUACCGGGAGAAUAAGCACCGGCUAACUACGUG
rnacentral:rRNA from 1 species